AAGCCAUGAUGGGGGACACUUGCAUAGGGAGAUCCUUGAAUCUCUCAUGUGCCUCAAAGAGUGUCUCGGAGUCCCCUUGUUGGAAUGCAGAAAUCUCUUGUCUCAAUCU